GUGUCAGCCGCCGCGGUAAUACGGAAGGUGCAAGCGUUAAUCGGAAUUACUGGGCGUAAAGCGCGCGUAGGCGGCUUGGUAAGUCGGAUGUGAAAGCCCCGGGCUCAACCUGGGAACUGCAUUCGAUACUGCCGGGCUGGAGUACGAGAGAGGGGGGUGGAAUUCCAGGUGUAGCGGUGAAAUGCGUAGAGAUCUGGAGGAACACCAGUGGCGAAGGCGGCCCCCUGGUUCGAUACUGACGCUGAGGUGCGAAAGCGUGGGGAGCAAACAGGAUUAGAAACCCCUGUAGUCC
rnacentral:rRNA from 1 species